AUUGAACGCUGGCGGCAGGCCUAACACAUGCAAGUCGAACGAGUGGCGGACGGGUGAGUAAUGUCUGGGAAACUGCCUGAUGGAGGGGGAUAACUACUGGAAACGGUAGCUAAUACCGCAUACAAUCGGAUGUGCCCAGAUGGGCUUAGCUUGUUGGUGGGGUAACGGCUCACCACGGAGACGAGCCCUAGUUGGUUUGAGAGGAGGACCAGCCACACUGGGCCUGAGACAGGGUCCAGACUCCUACGGGAGGCAGCAGUGGGGAAUAUUGCACAAUGGGCGCAACCCUGAUCCAGCCAUGCCGCGUGUAUGAUGAAGGCCUUCGGGUUGUAAAGUACUUUCAGCAGGGAGGCGUUACCCGCAGAAUAAGCACCGGCUAACUCCGUGCCAGCAGCCGCGGUAAUAC
rnacentral:rRNA from 1 species